ensembl:lncRNA
AGAUUCGAAACUUCAGGUCACACCGUGGCAUUGACCUCCAGGGUAGAACAUUAAAAUGCUGAAAAUAAGAGCAGCAUAAAAGCAUCCCACGCACCCAGGGGAUUUUUCUUUUUAAGGACUGAGUGAAGAAAGAGGCAAGAAAGAGCAGAGAGAGAUUCCACGGGGCACCAGAGGCCUGGUGUGGGGGGCUAAGUAGUGGAAGCCCAAACCUAACUUAACGUGUCGCCUGGGACAUCUGUGGCCCCCGUGGAUGUUAUCUUUGUCGCGAGCUUACCUUGUUCUGCACCCAGGAACUCCGAUCCGUUGGAAGCUUUCCUCGCCCCAAAGUGAUAAAUACGGCCUGGGUAAGCUGCGCCAAGGGGCAAAGCCAAGUGCAAUUCCACCCAGAAUUCUGGCAGAUUCACUGAUAGAAAUUGUUUCCAUUUGAGAAGGAUCAGGAGUCCUCGCCAGGACCAGCUGUCUCUCGGGUGUCGGAUUCCGUGACUGCCCGCAGCCUGGAGAGCGCCACCCCCCUUCUCCCCGUCCAGGGCGCGGAGAGCCGGGAGCACCCGGGUGCUGCGCCGGGACAAGCGGAGCCGCUGCCCCCUCGCGGCCAGUCCGAGCCUGCCCUCGGGGACCCGCUCCCACCUGCCUGUGCUGCUUCCGCGCCGAGCUAGAGACGGAACCCAGUCUCGGGAACUCCCGCGGGGACUGGGGACUCCCUCCUCCUCGCUCCGGGCUGGCAGGCGAGCCAGGAAAAGAAAGCAAUUCCUCGAAAGCCAUUUUGAAAGUCCUGCUGUUGGGCCAGUAUUUAGCUCAGUGGUGCCACCGCCUGCCUUGCAAGUGCAAGGUUCUGAGUUCAAUCCCUGGUACCAAAAAAAAAAAAGUCCUGCUGUUAAUCCAUAUGAAACACCCAGAGUAAAGAAUCUUCCACUAACAGUGCUUCAGUAUUGUCCUGAGGAUAACACUUUGAUACAUGAAAAUUUCUUUAAUCAUAAAAAUACUCCAUGAAGUUUUUCAAGGGACUAUGAAGGGGAAGUACUUGUAUGUAGCUCAAGACUCAACGCUCAGUAUAGAUUUGGAUAGUAUCUUAUUUCCUCUCAUAAAAAACUGAGCUCUAGACAAUAAGAACGGGAGCCUAUGACAGCUCUAGCAGAGAGGGUUGGUUCUCUAUUCCAAUUUCUGUUCUCCUCCACCAUACAAGACAAUCUCUGACUUUUAGUUUUGAAGCCAGGUGUGAUUAUGUGUCAAAGUUCUGAAUACCUGGCGUGGAAGCUUUGUACUGUCACCCUAGCUGUGAUGAUUAGUCACGAUUGUUGGCUUGAUUGGAUUGAGAAUGCCUAGGAAAUGAUUGAAGCACACUUCUGGAUAUGUGAUGGUAUCUCUGGAAAUAAUUGGCACGUGGGUCAGUAAACUGAUGGGGGAGACCCACCCUGGAUGUGGGUGGCACCAUUCAAUAGGCUGGAGCCCCAGAUGGAGUGAAAGCCCAAGGAGGAAGCAUCCUCCCUUCUCUCUUUCCCAGCUGCCAUGACCUUCUGCCUCACUUCAGGCCCACAGCAAUGGAACCAGCUGACCACGUACUGAAACUUCUGAAACCAUGAUUUAAAAUAAACCUUUUCUUUUAAAAAUUGUUUUUCUCAUGUAUUUUGUCACAAUGAUG